CCGGAAAAGGAAAUAGAUUGAAAUGCAGCGGAACUGCCCAAAAUUCAGGAACUUCAGCUGGUAAAGUGUCUCUUCAGUGGCGCUAAUCAAGACCUAGAAGUUAAAAUGGAAUCACCAGGGCCCCCACUACAGUCACAGCUCAUGUACAGCCGGACGUCUACAUGUACUCUGAAAACCAGACGAUUUAAUGAUGCAGAUGCCGGAUGAGAGUCCAUUACUAAAGGAGCAUGUAUUUACAUGGAUGAAGAUCCAGAAAACCUGAUCCAGGAGUAUGUGGGCAUCUAUGAAGAGUCCUUUCACCAAGCCAUUGAAGACACCAGCAUGGUUAUCUCCUGAAACGGCAAACUUUAAGUGCAGAGGCAGAAGGCAUUAGAAUCGUCUCGGAGGGCAUUAAGGUGCUGCAGGAUCUGGACAAUGUGGCACUGGCUGUCGCCGUGCUGUUUGGACUGAUGUAUGCUCGAAACCCCCGCUACACUUUUGAGGUACUGCAAAAAUUAGUUAUGGAACGGAAUGAAGAUGAACAUUCCAACAAGGGGCGCCCGCUGAAAAACCGAGUCUUAUACUGAGAAGGUCAGAAGGCCAGAACGGUGAGCAGUGUUUUCAGAAAUGCACUUCAGAGCAUGUUCAGCCUCACGGUGUUCCCAGUGGUCCUUUAAGUAUGAUUAAGCCGUUUUUAGCCUAAAUUUAAAAACCUGUGUCGUUUUUUUAAAACAUUUUCUGCCGUACAGAAGGAACUCUUAGAAAUUCACCUUGGAGUUGCGGCUGGGACUGUUGAUGCAGAAGUUAGCUCAUUUCCCAUCAGCACUUUGUUUACAGUUUAGAGCAGAUGUCAGCUCAGAUGAGGAAAAUGCAGAUGUUGGUGGAUCAAUUUGUCUGCAAGUGGAGGCAUCCGUAUUGGAGCGCAGCAGGGAGAUUUUGGCCCGCCCAGCGAAGUUGCUGCAUCACAAACCUGAGCUUUUUCAUCUGGUCCUGAUUCAACACGAUUUGAAUAAAGAAAUACUCAAACGCAACUUUAAACACAUCUUAAUUUGUUUUGUGUAUGUCCUCCAUAGUGAGAAAAAUGCUAAAAAAGAACAUGUAAAAACACCAAAAACAUGAUUUUCAUUGGAGUGGGUCUUUAUUAGCUUUUGGUUUUAAUAUUUUGGAAUGCACAGUGCGCAUAACAACAAAACUCAUAAACUUUGUAACUUCAGUCAAGUUGUAUAACUUCUUAUGCUGUUUUAUUUUUCCAGCUGCUCUGUGAAAGUGAGGUGUGUGUUUUAAUGAACACAUGUGCUUCACUGAUUUUUAUCUCCAACAUGUGUGUCACAGGUUUUUUUGUGUGUUUAUUUAUUAACUAACAAUUGCUUCUGUAAUGCUGCUGAACAUAGAUUUUAAUGUAUGUUCAGGAGUUCCUAUUGUUCUCCACAGACACCGGAUCAUAGACUUUCAGCUUUGUAGCCUCUGUCACCCCUUUUGUGUUUCACUGUUAGGAUAAUGGGUCAUGGGCUGUUUCACACUAUAGAUUGCAAAACGUUUGUAGCAUUAGGGGAUUUAAAAAAAAUCAGAUCUCUUUUUAUUUGUUGUUCAUUUUUGUACUUGUGAAGCUACAUUUGUAUUAUAAAUUUACAACAGACUUACUUUGUUUCAAUUUAAUCAUGUGUAACUUGUCCUGUGCAUUUUUAGAAAACGAAAGUGAUGGUAAUCAUUCAUUGUUGUAUAGAACCGUUUUGUUUUUCAUUUUUACUACUAGUGUAUGACUAGUUAACAAAUUCACAGUUUUGCAAACAUAAUUUCUUAGCAAACUGGUGUACCAGAUAAUAAAAUUUGAGGUUUGCACAAUUCUGACAGAUUUAACUUCUUGUGUUCCUGCAUAAACUUCUGCUGACUUAUCUUUUACAUAAAAAAAAAUCAUAAUGUCUAUUA